UGGGGUGUAGCUCAGUGGUAGAAUACAUAUUUAGCAUACAUGAGGUUCUGGGUUCAAUUCCCAGUACCUCCA
rnacentral:tRNA from 1 species